AUUGAACGCUGGCGGCAGGCCUAACACAUGCAAGUCGAACGAGUGGCGGACGGGUGAGUAAUUUCUGUGAAACUGCCUGAUGGAGGGGGAUAACUACUGGAAACGGUAGCUAAUACCGCAUACCAUCAGAUGUGCCCAGAUGGGAUUAGCUUGUUGGUGGGGUAACGGCCCACCAAGGCGACGAUCCCUAGCUGGUUUGAGAGGAUGACAAGCAACACUGGAACUGAGACACGGUCCAGACUCCGACGGGAGGCAGCAGGGGGGAAUAGUGCAAAAGGGGCGGAAGCCUGAGGAAGCCAUGCCGCGUGUAUGAAGAAGGACUUCGGGUUGGAAAGUACUUUCAGCGGGGAGGCGUUACCCGCAGAAGAAGCACCGGCUAACUCCGUGCCAGCAGCCGCGGUAAUUC
rnacentral:rRNA from 1 species